AUGAACGCUGGCGGCGUGCCUAAUCCAUGCCAGUCGAGCGAACAGAUGAGGAGCUUGCUCCUCUGACGUUAGCGGCGGACGGGUGAGUAACACGUGGAUAACCUACCUAUAAGACUGGGAUAACUUCGGGAAACCGGAGCUAAUACCGGAUAAUAUAUUGAACCGCAUGGUUCCAUAGUGAAAGACGGUUUUGCUGUCACUUAUAGAUGGAUCCGCGCCGCAUUAGCUAGUUGGUAAGGUAACGGCUUACCAAGGCAACGAUGCGUAGCCGACCUGAGAGGGUGAUCGGCCACACUGGAACUGAGACACGGUCCAGACUCCUACGGGAGGCAGCAGUAGGGAAUCUUCCGCAAUGGGCGAAAGCCUGACGGAGCAACGCCGCGUGAGUGAUGAAGGUCUUCGGAUCGUAAAACUCUGUUAUUAGGGAAGAACAAAUGUGUAAGUAACUAUGCACGUCUUGACGGUACCUAAUCAGAAAGCCACGGCUAACUACGUG
rnacentral:rRNA from 1 species